GAGGAAAAGAAACCAACAGGGAUUGCCCUAGUAACGGCGAGUGAAGCGGCAACAGCUCAAAUUUGAAAUCUGGCGCAAGCCCGAGUUGUAAUUUGUAGAGGAUGCUUCUGGGCAGCGGCCGGUCUAAGUUCCUUGGAACAGGACGUCAUAGAGGGUGAGAAUCCCGUAUGCGACCGGCUUGCACCCGUCACGUAGCUCCUUCGACGAGUCGAGUUGUUUGGGAAUGCAGCUCUAAAUGGGAGGUAAAUUUCUUCUAAGGCUAAAUACCGGCCAGAGACCGAUAGCGCACAAGUAGAGUGAUCGAAAGAUGAAAAGCACUUUGGAAAGAGAGUUAAAAAGCACGUGAAAUUGUUGAAAGGGAAGCUCACGCAACCAGACUUGUCGGCGGUGUUCCGCCGGUCUUCUGACCGGUCUAUUCGCCGCCGGCAGGCCAGCAUCACUUGGGAGCGCCGGAUAAAGGCGUGCGGAAUGUAGCCCCUCGGGGCAUUAUAGCCGCGCGCACAAUACGGCGCCUCCCGAGUGAGGUCCGCGCUUCGGCUAGGAUGCUGGCGUAAUGGUUGCUUGAGGCCCGUCU
rnacentral:rRNA from 1 species